UACGUAGGGGGCAAGCGCUGUCCGGAUUUAUUGGGCGUAAAAGGCUUGUAGGUGGCCACGCCAAGUCGGAUGUGAAAUCUCCCGGCUCAACUGGGAGGGGUCAUUCGAUACUGGCGGGCUCGAGGCCGGUAGGGGGAAGUGGAAUUCCCGGUGUAGUGGUGGAAUGCGCAGAUAUCAGGAGGAACACCGGUGGCGAAGGCGGGUCUCUGGGCAGUAACUGACGCUGAGGAGCGAAAGCGUGGGGAGCAAACAGG
rnacentral:rRNA from 1 species